UGUGGUGGCGAUAGCCUGAAGGAUACACCUGUUCCCAUGUCGAACACAGAAGUUAAGCUUCAGCACGCCAAGAGUAGUUGGGGGAUCGCCCCCU
rnacentral:rRNA from 1 species